rnacentral:rRNA from 1 species
GAUGAACGCUAGCUACAGGCUUAACACAUGCAAGUCGAGGGGCAGCAUGACGAUAGCUUGCUAUUGUCGAUGGCGACCGGCGCACGGGUGAGUAACGCGUAUCCAACCUUCCCGUUGCUAGGGGAUAACCUUGCGAAAGUAAGACUAAUACCCUAUGAAGUUCUUCGCAGACAUCUAAAGAGAACGAAAGAUUUAUCGGCAACGGAUGGGGAUGCGUCUGAUUAGCUUGUUGGCGGGGUAACGGCCCACCAAGGCGACGAUCAGUAGGGGUUCUGAGAGGAAGGUCCCCCCACAUUGGAACUGAGACACGGUCCAAACUCCUACGGGAGGCAGCAGUGAGGAAUAUUGGUCAAUGGGCGAGAGCCUGAACCAGCCAAGUAGCGUGCAGGAUGACGGCCCUAUGGGUUGUAAACUGCUUUUAUAAGGGAAUAAAGUGAGUCUCGUGAGACUUUUUGCAUGUACCUUAUGAAUAAGGACCGGCUAAUUCCGUGCCAGCAGCCGACGG